AGUGAACGCUGGCGGUAGGCCUAACACAUGCAAGUCGAACGGCAGCACAGUAAGAGCUUGCUCUUACGGGUGGCGAGUGGCGGACGGGUGAGGAAUACAUCGGAAUCUACUUUUUCGUGGGGGAUAACGUAGGGAAACUUACGCUAAUACCGCAUACGACCUACGGGUGAAAGCAGGGGAUGUUCGGACCUUGCGCGAUUGAAUGAGCCGAUGUCGGAUUAGCUAGUUGGCGGGGUAAAGGCGCACCAAGGCGACGAUCCGUAGCUGGUCUGAGAGGAUGAUCAGCCACACUGGAACUGAGACACGGUCCAGACUCCUACGGGAGGCAGCAGUGGGGAAUAUUGGACAAUGGGCGCAAGCCUGAUCCAGCCAUACCGCGUGGGUGAAGAAGGCCUUCGGGUUGUAAAGCCCUUUUGUUGGGAAAGAAAAGCAGCAGGUUAAUACCCCGCUGUUCUGACGGUACCCAAAGAAUAAGCACCGGCUAACUUCGUG
rnacentral:rRNA from 1 species